rnacentral:rRNA from 1 species
CGUGCCAGCAGCCGCGGUAAUACGUAGGGGGCAAGCGUUAUCCGGAUUUACUGGGUGUAAAGGGAGCGUAGACGGCAAGGCAAGUCUGAAGUGAAAGCCCGGUGCUUAACGCCGGGACUGCUUUGGAAACUGUUUAGCUGGAGUGCCGGAGAGGUAAGCGGAAUUCCUAGUGUAGCGGUGAAAUGCGUAGAUAUUAGGAAGAACACCAGUGGCGAAGGCGGCUUACUGGACGGUAACUGACGUUGAGGCUCGAAAGCGUGGGGAGCAAGCAGGAUUAGAUACCCUGGUAGUCCACGCCGUAAACGAUGAUUGCUAGGUGUAGGUGGGUAUGGACCCAUCGGUGCCGCAGCUAACGCAAUAAGCAAUCCACCUGGGGAGUACGUUCGCAAGAAUGAAACUCAAAGGAAUUGACGGGGACCCGCACAAGCGGUGGAGCAUGUGGUUUAAUUCGAAGUAACGCGAAGAACCUUACCAGGUCUUGACAUCCCGAUGAAAAACCCGUAACGGGGUUCCCUCUUCGGAGCAUCGGAGACAGGUGGUGCAUGGUUGUCGUCAGCUCGUGUCGUGAGAUGUUGGGUUAAGUCCCGCAACGAGCGCAACCCUUAUUCUUAGUAGCCAGCAGGUAAGGCUGGGCACUCUAAGGAGACUGCCGGGGAUAACCCGGAGGAAGGUGGGGAUGACGUCAGAUCAUCAUGCCCCUUAUGAUCUGGGCUACACACGUGCUACAAUGGCGUAACAAAGGGAAGCGAACCUGCGAAGGUGAGCAAAUCCCAAAAAUAACGUCCCAGUUCGGACUGUAGUCUGCAACCCGACUACACGAAGCUGGAAUCGCUAGUAAUCGCGAAUCAGAAUGUCGCGGUGAAUACGUUCCCGGGUCUUGUACACACCGCCCAUCGCACCAUGGGAGUCGGAAAUGCCCGAAGUCUGUGACUCAACCGCAAGGAGAGGGCAGCCG